rnacentral:pre_miRNA from 1 species
CGGUCAGAGUUGUCUAAUAGUUUUUUAAUUUUUAUUUUUUUUCUAUAAAUCAGAAUGAUCUGAAAUUUGGAGCGUGUGUUCAUAAAAAAUAGGAUAAUCUAAUAAAAAUAUAAAAAUAAAUAGACUAAAAUUCCUCUGAAAAUUUGUGAGAGUAUUUUGGUCAAUUUAUAUUUUGAAAUUUUUUUUUUCAUAUUUUUAUUAAUUGUCUCUCACUAAGAUGUACACGCACUCCAAAUUUCAGAUCAUUCCGAUUUAUAGAAAACAAAUAAAAAUUGAAAUACUAGCGUACAAUCGUGACCG